CAAAAACGCAGCCCUGUGCUCAGCCAGUGUCUGAGCAUCCGGCUGUGCUUCUGCCGGUGUCUUUCCAACCCGGCGUCCGCCUUAGCCUCACCUGCGCUAACUCUCAGGCAAGGCAGCGUGCGAGAGCUGUCACUCACUCAGCUGCUGGCUGGAGGAGGAGGAGAGGGGCUCUGCUGCGGGGCUGCACCGCGACACGGCAGCUCCAUGCACACCGUUCUGCUGCCGCCACCGCCGCUGCUGCUGGCUUGGGAGCGCACAGGAAUGCAGUGUCCCGGGCUGUCUGUUUGCGAAGGCGGAAGGUAUUUGUCUAACCCCGUGACACCAGGAAAACUGAUUUCUUGGUACAAACGUUUCCCAGAGAUGUGUAUGGUCACAGCCAGCGUCCAGAAUAUCCUCACUCCAGGUUCACUGAAGAAUCCCGGGGACUCAGCAUGGAAGCCGGGGACCCCAGAGCCGCUGGGGAAGCUGCACGGUGAGCUCACUGCAGCACCACGGUGUGCAAGAGCUGGAAGGGAGACGCCCCACUCGCAGGGCAGGACACAGCCUGCUGUUAGGACUCGGCUGCCACCUGUUUUUGGAGUGGGUGCUGGCAGCUGGUGGAAUCGGGAGUUUAAAAACGUGGCUUCUGCAAGGGGUGCCUCCAUCCGAAACCAUGGGGAGAUGAGAAACACCUUCAGCGCCCGAAGGCUUUGCAGCAGCGCUGACUGAUCAAAUAAAAAUAUGUGAA
ensembl:lncRNA